rnacentral:tRNA from 1 species
ACUUAAGUAGCUUAUUAGAGCAUAACAUUGAAGCUGUUAAGGGGGUAGAAUUACUCUUAAGUA